UGCCCAAGAGAUCGGGAUAACACCUGGAAACAGAUGCUAAUACCGGAUAACAACAGAUGAUGCCUAUCAACUGUUUAAAAGAUGGUUCUGCUAUCACUAUUGGAUGGACCUGCGGUGCAUUAGCUAGUUGGUAGGGUAACGGCCUACCAAGGCGAUGAUGCAUAGCCGAGUUGAGAGACUGAUCGGCCACAUUGGGACUGAGACACGGCCCAAACUCCUACGGGAGGCAGCAGCU
rnacentral:rRNA from 1 species